CAGUUCUUAACGGCCGCGCGUCCAGAGUCUGUUCCUUCUGAUGUUCGGAUGUGUUCGGAGUUUCUUCCUUCUGGUGGGUUCGUGGUCUCGCUGGCUCGGGAGUGAAGCUGCAGACGUUUGCGGAACUCGUGAGUUAUGACAAAAAGAUAUUAUGACUCCCAUGCAGCGGAUGAAGACAUUGAUGCCCAUGAAAGGAGAUUCACAAGCCUCCCUCCCAGAUUCAGGGAAGGAGAUGCAGCCCCCACCCCUUGACUGGAGGAGGACCAAGGUCACCUUGCAGAGCACCGUGAGAUGUGGAAGAUGCCAGAACUGUCUGUGGGAAAUGGGAUUUGUACUUGGCUUGUCUGCCUCUUGCAACCAGAGUCCUGGUUCUCAGGGCCUCACCUGUGCAUCUCUUGUUGAGCACAGAGGAGGCACUCGGCAUAAAUGAAGAGGAUGCUUGCUGAGCUGGCUGGCCCAUCCUCUCUUCUUUCCCUUGUUUUUCUAUUUUAUCUUUCAAAGCAGUGUUUCAAGUGUUUAUAAACUAAUCUAUGUAUAAAAUAUUAUGUGGCAUAAGAUUUGCAAAAUAUUAAAGAUUUAAAGAAUCAAAUAAAAUAUUUGUAUGAUACCACA
rnacentral:lncRNA from 1 species